rnacentral:rRNA from 1 species
GUAGGUGGCGAGCGUUAUCCGGAUUUACUGGGUGUAAAGGGUGAGUAGGCGGGAAGUCAAGUCAGAUGUGAAAUGCCGCGGCUUAACUGCGGAACUGCAUUUGAAACUGAUUUUCUUGAGAGUCGGAGAGGCAAUCGGAAUUCCUAGUGUAGCGGUGAAAUGCGUAGAUAUUAGGAGGAACACCAGUGGCGAAGGCGGAUUGCUGGACGACAACUGACGCUGAGACACGAAAGCGUGGGGAGCAAACAGGAUUAGAUACCCUGGUAGUCCACGCUGUAAACGAUGAAUGCUAGGUGUAGGUGCGCAAGCAUCUGUGCCGGAGUAAACACAAUAAGCAUUCCACCUGGGGAGUACGGCCGCAAGGUUGAAACUCAAAGG